GGUCGCGCAUGCGUGAUUACGUAUCUCGCGACAAACCUACCCUGAGGUCGUGACCUUCCUAAAUACCGGUCAAAAGUGAGACGCAACGGGAAGAUAGGAAUCGUUCGAAGGGCACUUGGUCAGAGCCUUGAGAAAGUAAAGUCGGAGCUGGACAUACGUGCCCUGGAGCGUUCGCCAAACGUUCUAUCGCCUGAAGCGGAUAUUGGCAAUGAGCUGUAUGAAUAAAGGAGGAAGUCGCAUAAUAUAUCGCACCUGCGAUGAGGAACCUUCUGCUGUCCUUCCUCUUAAACGGGGGAAGCAUUGAAGUCUCCGGAUUAAUCUUCAAUGCAAUCCAAUCGUUUAUUUCUCUCUCAUUGUUCAACCGGCAAUGGUUACUGACGGACCAUGGAACAUCUUCGAUUAAGUGUUGAAAUACUUUGGCAACGUUUACGAGAAAGCAGCCAACGAAUCCGACAAAAUAUGGACAACAUACAUGGAAUAUUUGAAAGAUUGAGAAACUAUAACGAGACAUUUCCAAGCUUAUACUUGGUCCGAUGGUAGCCAUUUGAGUACUUCUUAUAAAGGAAACGAUUAUGUCUGGUUACCGAUCAUACAUAUUAAAUAGAGGAAAUACACAAUGAACUACAGGUAAUAACCGAUAGUGGAGAACCACUGGGUCUGUGUGAGUCAGGCAGAGUAAGGUCCAGUAUAAGGUCCUGGGGUGAUUCGCCUAGACGGCCAUGACCAUAUUACAGGCCAGAGGCCCCCAAUACCAGUCAGCAAGCUCACUUCCAGUAACAACUGGCGAAAUCAUUGCCGGCAAAUCGCUUCACGUGUUCACAACAGAACUCGAGUUCAUGGACUUAAUUUGUUUACACAACCAUGUCAAAAGCUAUAUUCAUCCUUCGUUGUACGUUUAAGUAUUCAACCCCAAUGAUUCAUGUUACCUCUUUUGCUACAAAAAUAUGUGAAACCAUUUACGUUUGAAAAAGAAUCAAGCGAAUGUAUAUCUUACAAUAAAAUUGAAUCGAUAAAAUUAUUUAAAAAUAUACACGAUUACUUCUAGUAAUGGAGAAUAGUAUUUAAUAACGAAUGAUAACACUAUCCAACAAAUUUAAACUUUUUUUAAAUUCCGCGAUAUCCACUAGGUGAUUCUUAUAGGGUUCCUCAUCCUAAAUACAAAUCUGAGAGUAAAAUUGCUCCAUCACCCUUAGUUUUCGAGAAAUUCGCGAUUUUGUAAAUACGGUCGAUUUUGAGAGAAAACGUAAUACUACUUGAAAACUACGAACGCUAGAAAGUUCUAUUUAGUCUUAAACGAUAGAGGAGUGUUUUCUAAAUAUGAAGACAUAUUCCUUUAGAAUUAUCUGCUCUAAUGAAUGCCUGUAAAUGAACACCGAAGUUCAAAAAGGUGAUGAUGCGAGUAUUUUUCACGAAAUACGUUUGUAUUUUUAUGAAAAGUUAUUCGUCUAGGUCGAAUUUACUAUGCAUUAUAGGAUUCUGCAUACAUUUCUGAAGAGAAAACCACCCGUGGUAAAUGUUGGAACGUUUUCUAGUUCGUACAGAUCCAGAAAAUAUUAAUUUAGAACGCACGAAUUCUGUUUGCCGGCGCGCAGGCUUCGCUCGCUUUAUAUCGGUGAAUCAGGAUCGUCGUCAUGCGUUCUGCACAAUCGUCGCCAUGUGCUUGAAUAAUAACCAUAGAAUUCUCGUAACUUUGUUAAAAUUCGCCCCACAUUGACGAAUAGAAAACCAUUUUACAGCUUAAUGUUUCUACUUUUCGAUACUUUAAUCUUUUGUUAUUUAAGUUAGUAUUUGGGGGGUAAACUCUGCUCUAAAGAGAGAUUUUUUAUAGAUAACAGUUUUCAUUAAAAAUUAAUAACAAAAUAUACAAUUAUAGAUUGAAUUAAUUGUUAAAUAAUUCAAUUUAGAUUUAAAUAAAGUUUGCUCAAUACCAAAUUAACAAAAGUUGAAUAAUUGAAGAUACAAAAACGGGAAAUUAAUGAUUAAAAUUUAAACAGUGGAAAAUUGUCUCCGUUUUGUUAAGUUCCAGUAUAAAUGAAAUAUUAAAAAUGAAGAAUUACUUAUCUGGAACAUGUUAAUGUAAUACAAAAACCCGAGUUCCGAGUUGACGUUUUGUCAAACCGUAUGGAUUAGAAACCGUUCCAACAUUUGCCGCGGAUGGUUUUCUCUUCAGAAAUGUUUGCAGAAUCCGAUAACGUAGUAUAAAUUCGACCUAGGUGAAUAACUUUUCAUUAAAAUACAAAAGUAAUUCGUGAAAAAUUCACGCAUCGUCACCUUUUUGAACUUCGGUGUUCAUUUACAGGCAUUCA